UUAAUUGAAGCCAAAAAGAGGCAAAUCACUGUUAAUGAUUAAACUGGGAUCAACCCCCAAUUAAA
rnacentral:tRNA from 1 species